AUGGACAUAUCUCAGCAGGAGAUGGAAAGGAAUAUAACUAGAGAACUAGAAGAAGCUGCUGCUGAAAUUGAAUCAGACUGAUGGUGUAAGACCUCCUCUUUAGAAUCUACUUAUGAAUCACAUGUAAAUGACAAUCUACUAGUGAAAUCGUCCAAAGAAUAUUUACAGAUUUUGAAGAAAAAUUAUAUGUUCUGAAAGACAAACAGUAAAAUUUAUUUACUGGAUGUUUGUAUAACAUUUUAAUUGUGUCCUACUAAACGUAUUGUGUGAAAAUCUUGAAUAAAGGAAAAUUGUUCCGGA